rnacentral:rRNA from 1 species
CCCUGGUGGCGCCUUGGCGCGUGCCUUGAUUGGGUGUGUGUCAAGUCACGUAGUGGUGGGGCGCUGUUGGGGGCUUUACUUUGAAAAAAUUAGAGUGUUCAAAGCAGGCAGUCAUUUGAUUUGCUUGAAUAGAUUAGCAUGGAACAACGGAAGAGGACUUUUGGGCCUGUACUGUUGGCGUGUGGUGCGGGGUGUGUGGAGUGAGAAACCGCAAGGUUUUCUUAUUCCUCCCUCACCACAUCGGGUCUGAAGUAAUGAUUAAUAGGGACGGUUGGGGGCACUGGUAUUUCGUUGUCAGAGGUGAAAUUCUUGGAUUUACGAAAGACCGCCGACUGCGAAAGCAUUUGCCAAGGACGCUUUCAUUGAUCAAGAACGAAAGUUAGGGGAUCGAAGACGAUUAGAUACCGUCGUAGUCUUAACCAUAAACGAUGCCGGCCAGGGCUCGGUGGGCAGCACAAAUCAUUCUGUGAUGGAGGCGCCAUCGGGACCUUUAGGGAAACCAAAGCGUUUGGGUUCCGGGGGGAGUAUGAUCGCAAGAUUGAAACUUAAAGGAAUUGACGGAAGGGCACCACCAGGAGUGGAGCCUGCGGCUUAAUUUGACUCAACACGGGGAAACUCACCAGGUCCAGACAUGGGAAGGAUUGACAGAUUGACAGCUCUUUCUUGAUUCCAAGGGAGGUGGUGCAUGGCCGUCCAGCUUUUGUUGUGAAAUCUCUGUUUGAUUACGGUAAACGGCGAGACCUUGACUUGCUGAUUGGUGUGCGCCUGCGUUAUGCAGGCGUUGGAGAUUACGCGCAAGCGUGUCUUUUGACACACCACUCAGAGGGACACUCGGCGUUGCUAUUGAGCGUAAGCCGAAGGAAGUUUGAGGCGAUAACAGGUCUGUGAUGCCCUUAGAUGUUCUGGGCUGCACGCGCGCUACACUGACGGGGGCAGCGAGUAUGCUUUGGGUGUUUGUGGUGGGGAGCGUGAAAGCGUUUUUCUACGACAGACAUCUAUUCCUGCGCUGGAAGGCGUGGGGACUCUUGUGAAAACCCGUCGUGCUGGGGAUAGAUGCUUGCAAUUAUUCAUCUUGAACGAGGAAUUCCUAGUAAGCGCAAUUCAACAGAUUGCGUUGAUUACGUCCCUGCCCUUUGUACACACCGCCCGUCGCUACUACCGAUUGAAUGGUUUAGUGAGGCCUCGGGAUUGGCGCGUGGGCGCUGGCAACAGCUGCCCAUGUCAUCUUUUGCUGAGAACCUGGUCAAACUUGAUCAUUUAGAGGAAGUAAAAGUCGUAACAAGGUUUCCGUAGGUGAACCUGCGGAAG